UAUGAUCGCCAAAUUAAUUGCUGCAUUUGAGCACUAGACGGUUAGCAUUAUUAUUCAUAAUUCAGUUUUAAUCGGACACAAAUUGCAGACCGUUGGCACAUAAAUUAUUCAGGAGUAAACAUUGGUUGACUCUUGGAAAGUUAAAAGGAGCUAAAAAUACCUCAAAACUGUUUAAAAUUUUCCUGUGGGAAAUUUACGAAAGUCUGUACCACCUUUCGUUCCGCUUUAAAACAAGAUGGAUACAAAUUCAGCAGAAAACCCACAAAUAUAUGGAAAUCGUGAUUAAUUUUAAUGGUAAUAUAUGUUUUUGUAUUUUGAA